rnacentral:rRNA from 1 species
UACGGAGGGUGCGAGCGUUGUCCGGAAUCACUGGGCGUAAAGGGCGCGUAGGCGGCCCGUCAAGCGUGUGGUGAAAGCCCGGGGCUCAACCCCGGGUCGGCCGUGCGGACUGGCGGGCUCGAGCACUGUAGAGGCGUGUGGAAUUCCGGGUGUAGUGGUGAAAUGCGUAGAGAUCCGGAGGAACACCAGUGGCGAAGGCGACACGCUGGGCCGUACCUGACGCUAAAGCGCGACAGCAUGGGGAGCAAACGGG